UUGUGUGCACAGGAAUCUUUAGGAAG
rnacentral:misc_RNA from 1 species